rnacentral:rRNA from 1 species
UACGUAGGGGGCAAGCGUUAUCCGGAUUUACUGGGUGUAAAGGGAGCGUAGGUGGCAUGGCAAGCCAGAAGUGAAAACCCGGGGCUUAACCCCGCGGAUUGCUUUUGGAACUGUCAGGCUGGAGUGCAGGAGGGGCAGGCGGAAUUCCUGGUGUAGCGGUGAAAUGCUUAGAGAUCAUACAGAACACCGAUUGCGAAGGCAGCUUACCAAACUAUAUCUGACGUUGAGGCACGAAAGCGUGGGUAGCAAACAGG